UACGUAGGUGGCAAGCGUUGUCCGGAAUUAUUGGGCGUAAAGCGCGCGCAGGCGGUCCUUUAAGUCUGAUGUGAAAGCCCACGGCUCAACCGUGGAGGGUCAUUGGAAACUGGGGGGACUUGAGUACAGAAGAGAAGAGUGGAAUUCCACGUGUAGCGGUGAAAUGCGUAGAGAUGUGGAGGAACACCAGUGGCGAAGGCGACUCUUUGGUCUGUAACUGACGCUGAAGCGCGAAAGCGUGGGGAGCAAACAGG
rnacentral:rRNA from 1 species